rnacentral:rRNA from 1 species
AAACCAGCACCUCAAGUGGUCAGGAUGAUUAUUGGGCCUAAAGCAUCCGUAGCCUGAUCUGUAAGUUUUCGGUUAAAUCUGUACGCUCAACGUACAGGCCGCCGGGAAUACUGCAGAUCUAGGGAGUGGAGAGGUAGACGGUACUCGGGAGGAAGUGGUAAAAUGCUUUGAUCUCUCGAUGCCCACCUGUGGCGAAGGCGGUCUACCAGAACACGUCCGACGGUGUGGGAUGAAAGCUGGGGGAGCAAACCGGAUUAGAAACCCGAGUAGUCC